CCAGAGAACUUAGCAGAGAUGCUUUGGUGCCUUCGGGAACUCUGAGACAGGUGCUGCAUGGCUGUCGUCAGCUCGUGUUGUGAAAUGUUGGGUUAAGUCCCGCAACGAGCGCAACCCUUAUCCUUUGUUGCCAGCGAUUCGGUCGGGAACUCAAAGGAGACUGCCGGUGAUAAACCGGAGGAAGGUGGGGAUGACGUCAAGUCAUCAUGGCCCUUACGGCCAGGGCUACACACGUGCUACAAUGGCGCAUACAAAGAGAAGCGACCUCGCGAGAGCAAGCGGACCUCAUAAAGUGCGUCGUAGUCCGGAUUGGAGUCUGCAACUCGACUCCAUGAAGUCGGAAUCGCUAGUAAUCGUAGAUCAGAAUGCUACGGUGAAUACGUUCCCGGGCCUUGUACACACCGCCCGUCACACCAUGGGAGUGGGUUGCAAAAGAAGUAGGUAGCUUAACCUUCGGGAGGGCGCUUACCACUUUGUGAUUCAUGACUGGGGUGAAGUCGUAACAAGGUAAGCGUAGCGAG
rnacentral:rRNA from 1 species